UGAGCACCAUCCGCUGAUCUCCAACUCAUCGUUCCGGAAAGUGAUGCGCGUUUACUGUUUGUGGAUCUGCGUUAAAGUCUGCGUUAGUCAAAACUCCAACGCCGUCGCUUUUUCGCCACAGAUGUCAACUUGGAUACGUUUGUUUUCAGGCUUAUGGCUGAAAACAUGAGCGGGCAUUUUGUAUAAUAAUGUUUAUAUUUUACUAAAGAUCUAUUAAGAUAACUGACAGACGGGAGGAAGGGGAAAUGGACCACGAAUUUGAGGACAUGGACUCAGAAGACCGGUGGCAGAACCUCUACAUAGAAAUACGGAACCAGUCUCAGGAAUGUCCUUACAAAGUGGCAAAGUUUCCUGAGAACCGCAACCGUAACCGAUACAGAGAUGUCAGCCCCUUCGAUCACAGUCGAGUGAAACUCGGGAACUCAGAAAACGACUACAUCAACGCCAGCCUCGUGCCUGUGGAGGAAGCCCAACGAAGCUACAUACUAACUCAGGGUCCUCUCAGAAACACUUGCGGUCAUUUCUGGCUGAUGAUCUGGGAACAGAACUCGAAAUCAGUCAUCAUGCUGAACAGAGUGAUAGAAAAAGGCUCGGAGAAGUGUGCACAGUACUGGCCCACGCCGGAGGAACACGAGAUGGCGUUUCGGGACACGCCUUUUGUCGUGAGGCUGCUAUCAGAGGACGUAAAGUCUUACUACACCACACGCUUACUGGAGCUGCAGAACAUAAACACCGGGGAGAAAAGAGAAAUCUACCACUUUCAUUACACCACAUGGCCCGACUUUGGGGUCCCAGAAUCCCCGGCGUCCUUCCUCAACUUCCUGUUUAAGGUGCGCGAGUCGGGAUCGUUAGGGGCGGAUCACGGGCCGGCGGUGGUGCACUGCAGCGCAGGGAUCGGCCGGUCGGGAACCUUCUCCCUGGUCGACACCUGUCUUGUUCUGAUGGACAAACGGAAAGACCCGUCCUCUGUGGACAUUAAAAGGGUGCUGCUGGACAUGAGGAGGUUCAGGAUGGGUCUGAUCCAGACUCCCGACCAGCUCCGCUUCUCCUACAUGGCUGUGCUGGAGGGAGCCAAGUGCAUCAUGGGAGAUUCAUCAGUACAGAAACGGUGGCAGGAGCUCUCUAAAGAGGAUCAGGUGUGUGUGACCGAGUCUGCUUCACCACCCAAAUGUCCAUCAGAGCGCCACAACGGCACUCAGAAACUCCGAGCCGACGACACAGGGGAGACGGAGGGAGCGAAAAAACCCACAAAAGAUGAAAGAGAAGUGGAAGGAGACACGUGCACGGCCAACGCACGCAAGAGACAGAGAGACGAGAAGAUCUCCGUUUCUGCACAGAAGACUCCUCAGAAGCAGCCGAAGCCCAGGACGAACGAAACAGAGAAGAAGAGGAAAAGCCUGGGCUGCAUCUGCUGUACGUGAGAACGCGAGCUCUGACCCCGCCCCUCUCCCUGUCCCGCCCCCGAGGCCGAGGUGGCGCCGCGAGCCUGGGCUCAUCCGGGCGUCCGUGAACAAACCCAGGCUAGCGAGAAUGACCAGCGACACCUAAGGCCUCGGCAACCACAGCAGGGAUCCAGACCAUAAUACUCAUCUACACUGUUUACAGCAUGGACUCGAGUGAGGAGCGACACACACACACACACACACACCAGCAGAGCAGCGCUGGACUCGUGCGCACUGCCGGGUCUCGAUUCCAAUCUAUUUUUUUUCCUUUGGACUUCAGACUCUGACGUAGUUCUAUGCAUCACUGAUUUGUAUCACGGUAUUUUUUAUUAGAUCCACGUUAUUUCCGAAAUACUCUAUUUUUUUAUAUCAGAAAACGACUCCGAAGAUCUUCGGCUCAUGUCCGAGACCCACGGCUCUUUUCAUGGUACCGAAGUAUUGGAGUAUUUUUGAUAAAAGAACGCGCUCCUUUUAUGAGGACAGGAAACAGAAAAAAAGUCUUAAGAAUCUCUUGUUUAACGAAACGACAGAACGCUUCAUCGUCUGGUUUGUGUAUCAGUGUCCUGCGUGAUCGUCUCAUGUAUAUUAAAUCUUUUUUUUUUAGAGAA